GCGGAUAUGGUCAAAUGGUAAAAAUUAUCUUUGCCAAGGAGAAGAUGCAGAUUGGAUUCCCGCUAUCCGCC
rnacentral:tRNA from 1 species